UACAGAGGGUGCGAGCGUUAAUCGGAAUUACUGGGCGUAAAGCGCGCGUAGGCGGCUUUGCAAGUCAGGUGUGAAAUCCCCAGGCUUAACCUGGGAACUGCAUCCGAUACUGGAUGGCUUGAAUCCGGGAGAGGGAUGCAGAAUUCCAGGUGUAGCGGUGAAAUGCGUAGAUAUCUGGAGGAAUACCGGUGGCGAAGGCGGCAUCCUGGACCGGCAUUGACGCUGAGGAGCGAAAGCUAGGGGAGCAAACGGG
rnacentral:rRNA from 1 species